UUUGGUGCUUUCAAUAUUUAAAAAAAAAAAAAAAAUUAAAAUUUAAAAAAAAAAAAAAAAAAAACCUCAAAAUUCUGGAGUUCGACAUGAUCAGCUCUGGGAGAAGCUCACCGGUGAAGCCAUUUUCGAUGAGGAAUUGAAAUUUGGGGCUGAGAUUGGUACGUAUCUUCAAUUGGAGGAUGGAAGGAUGGUUUAAGAUCAUUUUGGCUAUUUGGGUAUCAUCGAAUUUGUGAGAUUUUAAGAAACUUAGCACGGAUUGGGAAUUUUGGGCAUUACUCUUAGGGUCAAGUUGGAAGGUUUUGGAAGCAGCGAGAGCCACUUCAAAAGGAACCGCACAUGAGUUUUCACCAAGAAAUCAACUGUGAAUGAUGAUAAAGAAGAAGAUGGGUUUUGACAAGUAGGAAGUGUUGCCUAUGUUUUCAAAAAGCGUUUUUUUCGCAGCAAAAGAAAGCAGAAUUUUAAACUCCAUCGUUGCCGCCACUUUGAUUUGAACAACAAGAAGAAGAAGCUGAUUGACAACGAUUUUGGACCGCUAUUGUUGUCCGAUCCCCUUUAUUUGAUGGGAAUUAUGGAAGAGGGCAAGAAAAGGAAACCCCCAUUUAACAACAGAGUGCGCUUUAGCAACCUGUCGCCAGAUUCCUGUUAAAACAAAUCAAUAUGGUGCUAUCAAUUUUUCUGGAGCUUUCUUUUUCUUUUUCUGCAAUUUUUUUGGAACCAUAUCUGGUAUGGAUAUUGUGGUUUUUUUUUUUUUUUUGGGCUGAGAAUCCUUUAAUUGAUGGUGGGAGCAGGAGCCGUGACAUCGGACAUGAAGGAAAUUUUGGUAAUUUUUUUUCUACGUGAGGAAACUUUAAAUCUGAACCUUCCAUGUUUAUGAUUUAAAUUUAAUAACUAAAACUUUUAGCAUAUGUUUAGAUCAUAUUAUUUUGAUCA